rnacentral:rRNA from 1 species
GACAGAGGGUGCAAACGUUGUUCGGAAUUACUGGGCGUAAAGCGCGUGUAGGCGGCCCUGCAAGUCGGGUGUGAAAUCCCACGGCUCAACCGUGGAAGUGCACUCGAAACUGCAGGGCUAGAGUCCUGGAGAGGAAGUGGAAUGCUGGUGUAGAGGUGAAAUUCGUAGAUAUCAAGCGGAACACCGGUGGCGAAGGCGGCCUUCUG